AGCUCCAAUAGCGUAUAUUAAAGUUGUUGCGGUUAAAAAGCUCGUAGUUGGAUCUCGGCGGGCAGGGGGUGGUUCGCUCUUCAGCGCUACUGCCCCGCUUUGCCCGUGUGAUUGGCGGAGGUUUCGGGGUGCUCUUCGCUGAGUGACUCGGAGCGCCGUCAGGUUUACUUUGAAAAAAUUAGAGUGCUCAAAGCAGGCUUUUCACGCUUGAAUAUUCGUGCAUGGAAUAAUGGAAUAGGAACUCGUUUCUAUUUUGUUGGUUUUCGGAAAUCGAGUUAAUGAUUAACAGGGACAAUUGGGGGCAUUCGUAUUCAAACGACAGAGGUGAAAUUCUUGGACCGUUUGAAGACGAACUAAGGCGAAAGCAUUUGCCAAGAAUGUUUUCA
rnacentral:rRNA from 1 species